rnacentral:rRNA from 1 species
UACGUAGGGUGCAAGCGUUGUCCGGAAUUAUUGGGCGUAAAGAGCGUGUAGGCGGCCCGACCAGUCCGCUGUGAAAGUCCAGGGCUCAACCCUGGAAUGCCGGUGGAUACUGUCGGGCUAGAGUCCGGAAGGGGCGAGCGGAAUUCCUGGUGUAGCGGUGAAAUGCGCAGAUAUCAGGAGGAACACCUAUGGCGAAGGCAGCUCGCUGGGACGUGACUGACGCUGAGACGCGAAAGCCAGGGGAUCAAACGGG